CAUCACCUGAGGAUCUUGUUAAAAUGCAGAUUGUUUUGUACCAGGUCUGUGAGUUGUAACCAUCUCCCUCUGUGAUGCCAAUGGU
rnacentral:miRNA from 14 species